GAUGAACGCUAGCUACAGGCUUAACACAUGCAAGUCGAGGGGCAGCACAGUGUAGCAAUACACGGGUGGCGACCGGCGCACGGGUGCGUAACGCGUAUCCAACCUUCCCGUUACUCUUGGAUAGCCUUCCGAAAGGGAGAUUAAUACAAGAUGGUAUUCAAAUUCCGCAUGUUAUUUGAAUUAAAGAUUUAUCGGUAACGGAUGGGGAUGCGUGACAUUAGAUAGUAGGCGGGGUAACGGCCCACCUAGUCUACGAUGUCUAGGGGUUCUGAGAGGAAGGUCCCCCACACUGGAACUGAGACACGGUCCAGACUCCUACGGGAGGCAGCAGUGAGGAAUAUUGGUCAAUGGUCGGAAGACUGAACCAGCCAAGCAGCGUGAAGGAUGAAGGUUCUAUGGAUUGUAAACUUCUUUUAUACGGGAAUAAAACCUCCCACGUGUGGGAGCUUGUAUGUACCGUAUGAAUAAGCAUCGGCUAACUCCGUGCCAGCCGCCGCAGUAACAC
rnacentral:rRNA from 1 species